UUUUGGUCAAGAUAAUAAGGGCAAUUGGUGGAUGCCUAGGCAUAUAGAGGCGAUGAAGGACGUGGCUAGCUGCGAUAAGCUUCGGUGAGGUGCAAACAACCUUUGAUCCGGAGAUUUCCGAAUGGGGCAACCCUUCAUGAGUAAUAUCAUGAAACUUCCGGUUGAAUAUAUAGACCGGAUAGAGCGAACGGGGAGAAUUGAAACAUCUUAGUAACCCCUGGAAAAGAAAACAACCGUGAUUCUCCUAGUAGCGGCGAGCGAACGGGGAAUAGCCCAAAUCUGUUUUAUGUUCAAGCCUGCCGGCGUUGUAAAACAGGCGUAGCGGGGCGAUUUUGGAGAGAUCGGCAGGUCUCUCGACAAGUCAAAAAUCUGUACAUUAUUUGAAUAGCUCUGGAAAGGGCUAACCGCAGAAGGUGAUAGUCCUGUAGAAGAAAAUCUGCAGACUUGUUGAAAGUCGUUCCCAAGUACCACGGAUCACGAGGAAUUUUGUGGGAAUCUACCGGGACCACCCGGAAAGGCUAAAUACUCCUAUAUGACCGAUAGUGAACUAGUACCGCGAGGGAAAGGUGAAAAGUACUCCUGACGGAGAGUGAAAUAGAACCUGAAACCGAUUGCUUACAAUCUGUCGGAGUCCGCCUAUGGCGGAUGACGGCGUGCCUUUUGCAUAAUGAGCCAGCGAGUUGCUCGUAGGUUGCGAGA
rnacentral:rRNA from 1 species